UACGUAGGGUGCAAGCGUUGUCCGGAUUUAUUGGGCGUAAAGAGCUCGUAGGCGGUCUGUCGCGUCGGAUGUGAAAACCCAGGGCUCAACCCUGGGCCUGCAUUCGAUACGGGCAGACUAGAGUGCGGUAGGGGAGACUGGAAUUCCUGGUGUAGCGGUGAAAUGCGCAGAUAUCAGGAGGAACACCGGUGGCGAAGGCGGGUCUCUGGGCCGUAACUGACGCUGAGGAGCGAAAGCGUGGGGAGCGAACAGG
rnacentral:rRNA from 1 species